rnacentral:rRNA from 1 species
AUACGGAGGGUGCAAGCGUUAAUCGGAAUUACUGGGCGUAAAGAGUACGUAGGUUGUUCGUUUAGUCAGAUGUGAAAGCCCAGGGCUUAACCUUGGAACUGCAUUUGAUACUGGCGGACUAGAGUAUGGUAGAGGGGGGUAGAAUUCAUAGUGUAGCGGUGAAAUGCGUAGAUAUUAUGAGGAAUACCGGUGGCGAAGGCGGCCCCCUGGCCCAAUACUGACACUGAGGUACGAAAGCGUGGGUAGCGAACGGGAUUAGAAACCCUAGUAGUCC